rnacentral:rRNA from 1 species
CACGUAGGGUGCGAGCGUUGUCCGGAAUUAUUGGGCGUAAAGAGCUCGUAGGCGGUGUGUCGCGUCGGCCGUGAAAACCUGCAGCUUAACUGUGGGCUUGCGGUCGAUACGGGCAUCACUGGAGUUCGGCAGGGGAGACUGGAAUUCCUGGUGUAGCGGUGAAAUGCGCAGAUAUCGGGAGGAACACCAGUGGCGAAGGCGACUACCUGGCCUGUUCUUGACGCUGAGGCGCGAAAGCUAGGGGAGCAAACGGG